CCGAGAGACAGGAGGACAGGAAAAGGCCAUCAAACUCCAAACGGUCAUGCAACCGGAACCUCUGAUGAUGGCCCCUUCUGCUGGGAACCCUUAGAGAGGCCUCAGAGGGAGCUCUGACUGCAGUUUCCCCAAAACAGCGCCCCCUGUCAGCAGGAAGCAGUUAAUAUUGGUCUUCGUCCUUAUCCUUAUCUUUAUUCUAGUGGCAGUUAGAUGUACUUCUUCAGAGAGGGGAAUGAGACAGCCAAGUGGGAGGGAGUCCUUGGAGAAACUCCAAGCAGCCUGUACACCAGGGUGGAGCCACAGAAUUUCACAUCCUUUGCGGUGGGGAGGAGCCAGGCUCCUCCUUUUCCUCUGUGGAAACUGGGAUUCAAUCUGCUGGGCAGGAAGUGCUCCAGCAGGGACUCUGGCCUUGUGAGAGUCCCUAUUUCCUCCUGUUAUUCCUUUUCACCCAAUAAAACUCUAUCUUAC
rnacentral:lncRNA from 1 species